GCUAGAUUCCUUACUCGUGUUUGGCACCACGGUUCUUCAGGGAUUCCUUCUUGUGAGCUUGACUACGGUGGUGCGCAGUGUCAAGAUUCUGGCUCUCAAAUCACGUGAUAUUAAACUUGAUAUGGUUAUUGACUUGAUGAAAUGCUUUCCAUGUUUAGAGAAGUUGUACAUAAUGUCUUGUAUUUCAGGCCGAGAAAUGAAUUGGUGGCGUCGCAAACAUGGGGAUUUCAUUAAAUGCUCUGAUAUCCGUCUCAAGACAAUAGUGUUGGCGCAGUAUCAAGGCAUCAGAUCACAAGUCAACUUUGCCUCAUUCUUUCUACUGAAUGCGAGAGAGUUAGAGUUAAUGACACUUGAGGUUGAAAGUAAAGAUUACAAUGAGGAGUUUAUUGCAGAACAACAUGAGAUGCUUCAGAUGGAGAAAAAGGCUUCAAGAGGUGCACGGUUACAUUUUACGGCAAAUGGAUGUCAGCGUUUUGUUAUGCACGUUGACCAUAUCCGUGAUUUGUCUAUAACUGAUCCCUUUGAAUGUAGAUGUUAAAAUUAGCCUUGGUCGUAACCCUUUUAUGAUUUUUCCUUUCCACUCUCAUUUGGUACAUUGU